rnacentral:misc_RNA from 1 species
CCUGAAAGAACCUGCCUUUGUAGUGCUCACACAGAUUGUCUGAUGAAUGAUAAAUUUCAAAAUGUACUGUGAAGUGCAUUGUGAAAUUUUGCUCUUUAAAAAUCUGGAUCAAGCUGAAAAUUGAAACGACACACAGCUAAUGUGUGUUCGAGUCUCUCAAAUUUUCGCGACACGAUGAUGUUUCACGAAACAUCUUCGGGUUGUGA